UAAUUUUAUAUUCGGUUAAUUUCUUAAUUUAUUAUGGCUAUAAUUAAAUCAAUGUGACCAUUUCUUAAAUUGCAAUUAUUGCCAAUUGAGCCCAUUUUCCUUCAUUUUCCCUUAUAUUGGUCCAACUCGACUACAAUAUAUUUAAACCCAUUUCAAUCCAAAGCCCAAUUCCAUACAUCCGUAAACAAUCCCCACAAAUCAAUUUCCUAUUUCACCAAACGAACUAACAUGUAUACACCUAUACUUACAAUUUCCUAUUUAUAUACAACUACUGACCAAUACCUACUCAUAUUUCUAUACCACGUGGCAACAUCAAACAUAUACCUUAUUUUUCCCAUUACAUUACAAUACCGUACCACAAUACAUAUGUAAUGACCCUCCAUGUCAUUUUUGUCUUUUUCUAAUCUUUUCCACCUUUAGAGCUUUCCUAUAGUGAUCCCAAGUCAUUUAUGACUUGCUCGCACUGACUGUUUGGUCGCUUGGUCGUUCGUUUAGGUUUUAUGCACAUUUUUCUGUUUUGGAGGUCUUGGAGCUUGAAUGGUUGACUUUGGUGAAAACUCUAGGAAGGCGACCUCAGAACAAAAUUGUAAUGGUUCCAUUAGCUCUAGAAUGACCAAAUUAGGCUAGUAGCGUGGUCGGCAUGGGUAUCGAGGCAAUCGAUGCGAGUUUGAGGCCAUUUGGCACUUUAGUCUUUGAAAUUUCAUCUAAAGUCGACUUUGGUCAACAUUCUUAGAAAACAUGCUCGGAUUGAAUUUCCCUUAAUGCGAUUAGAUUUGAAAUGUUCAGUUUGGUCUAGAACGACCUUUCGUUCGUGUCUCAAGGCUUUCAAUCUCAUUUUGAGCCCUUUUGUGGAUUGUGGUUUAAUCUGAAGUUUGGGUGUGGGACCAUUGUUUUUCUAGAUGUCCUCGGAUGGGAAUUUCAACAACACUUUUGAGAUCAGAAUGUCAUUUCCAAUCAGACUCCAUAUACGGUUUGCAUUUUCCUGACUCCGAAUAUGUCCGGAGCAUCAAAACAGUUGUUGAAAUCUGGUGCAAGAGGGUCCACGCGAUCAUGGUGAUCAUCUAGAAUGGAGAGGCACAGUCGUGACCUAUAAGCCAUCACGAUUGUGAUGAGGAAAUAAACGGCUAUAAAUGGUUGUUCCUUUCCAAAUUCAAGGGGAUUUAUUUGAAAACUUUGGAUAGUGAUAGUUUGAUCAAUUUUGAUCUGAAUUGAGUGAUUCAAAAGUCAAAAUUGUGAGAUUUUUUGAGGAGAAUGCGUUGUUGAGCUCAGAAACUGAAUUGAAAGCUUUGUUUGUGGUAAUAUUUGCAUUAUAGUUGCUGCAUUUCUUAUUUUCGAAUUAGAUUUUUGGUGAAUUAUGAGAUUUGAUAUCUUGAUCAUUUUAGGUGCAUUUUGAGUGAUUCAAAGCUCUAAAUUGUGUGAUUUUUCAUUGGGAAUGAAGUGGUGUUCCAAAAGUUCUGGGGAACCUUUGUUUGAGGUAAAAUUCAGAAAAGAGGGGAUGCUCUAACUUAGUUUAAGCUUUAAUGGUGUUUUUAAUUAUUGGGAUGAUUUUGGUCAUUUUGAGCAUUGAUUUGUGCCCUAUUUUGGGGUACAAGCUCAAUAAUGUAUUUAGAACCUUUUCAAGGAGUCGUUUUUUGAAUUUCCAUCACGGAUCCCAUAAUUCUGUUUUAGACCCAAUUUUGGGUUCGUCUCCAAAAAAUGCGAUUUUAGUGUUAAAACAUUCAUAUUGAUGAGGUGAUCAAUAUUUUGAUAGCGCGAAGGCAUUUGAAGUCACUUUUGGAGUGAAAAGCUAUCAGUAUGUGGAAUUGGAGCGCGCGUGUUCGGCUUUGAGAUCAUACUACGGUUUUUCUUUACUAAUUUGGAUUUCGUGCGGAGCAUCUCUUGAAUUUUGGAGACUAGGGUUAGCUCUUAGCAUUUGGAGUUGCCUAUCUCCCUCUAUUUCAGCUUGGACUAGCCUUUAUUUUUCACUCAGAGACAGUUAUGCUAUUAUUAUAUCUGUAUAAACUUUGUACUCCUUUAUUUAGUUUAGUGGCUCGACUACCAACUGAAAUCAGGUCUUGGAGGUUAUCUUGUUGUAUUGUUCUUGUUCUUCUUUUCUUUAUUAUUAUUGUUAUUAUUAUUAAUAUUAUUAGUCAAUUCUUUCCUUCCGCUUGUGA